rnacentral:rRNA from 1 species
GACGAACGCUGGCGGCGUGCUUAACACAUGCAAGUCGAACGGAAAGGCCCUGCUUUUGUGGGGUGCUCGAGUGGCGAACGGGUGAGUAACACGUGAGUAACCUGCCCUUGACUUUGGGAUAACUUCAGGAAACUGGGGCUAAUACCGGAUAGGAGCUCCUGCUGCAUGGUGGGGGUUGGAAAGUUUCGGCGGUUGGGGAUGGACUCGCGGCUUAUCAGCUUGUUGGUGGGGUAGUGGCUUACCAAGGCUUUGACGGGUAGCCGGCCUGAGAGGGUGACCGGCCACAUUGGGACUGAGAUACGGCCCAGACUCCUACGGGAGGCAGCAGUGGGGAAUAUUGCACAAUGGGCGGAAGCCUGAUGCAGAAACGCCGCGUGCGGGAUGACGGCCUUCGGGUUGUAAACCGCUUUCGCCUGUGACGAAGCGUGAGUCACGGUAAUGGGUAAAGAAGCACCGGCUAACUACGUG